rnacentral:rRNA from 1 species
CUACGUGCCAGCAGCCGCGGUAAUACGGAAGGUCCAGGCGUUAUCCGGAUUUAUUGGGUUUAAAGGGAGUGUAGGCGGUCUGUUAAGCGUGUUGUGAAAUUUAGGUGCUCAACAUCUAACUUGCAGCGCGAACUGGCGGACUUGAGUGCACGCAACGUAUGCGGAAUUCAUGGUGUAGCGGUGAAAUGCUUAGAUAUCAUGACGAACUCCGAUUGCGAAGGCAGCGUACGGGAGUGUUACUGACGCUUAAGCUCGAAGGUGCGGGUAUCGAACAGAAUUAGAUACCCUGGUAGUCCGCACGGUAAACGAUGGAUGCCCGCUGUUAGCGCCUGGCGUUAGCGGCUAAGCGAAAGCAUUAAGCAUCCCACCUGGGGAGUACGCCGGCAACGGUGAAACUCAAAGGAAUUGACGGGGGCCCGCACAAGCGGAGGAACAUGUGGUUUAAUUCGAUGAUACGCGAGGAACCUUACCCGGGCUUGAAUUGCAGACGCAGGAUACAGAGAUGUUGA